CAUAAAACCAUGUGAACGCAUUCUGAGCUCAUUAAAAGUCGAAUUGCCCUGGGGAAAAACAAGCAAACAAACCAACAACAAAAUACCCUACGCAGUAAAGAGGGCUGACGGAAGGGGGCACCUUUCUCUACACCAGGUUGCUCAAGGCUCCAUCCAGCCUGGCCUUCAGCACUCCUGGAAUGGGGGGGCAUCCACAACUCUGGGCAAUCCAUUCCAGUGCCUCACCACCCUCCUCCUAUCAACUACUUCUGAAGCUAAUAGAGGGUAUUGGAAAAGAAAAUGAAACAGAAUUAUGCACUCAAGUGUUUCUGCCAGGAAAACAAACCCUCUAAUUAGGGUAUAAUGAAAACCAAAUCUCAUUUACAAAAUAAA